GGGGAAUUAGCUCAGUGGUAGAGCGCUCGCUUUGCAUGUGAGAGGCCGGGUGUUCGAUCCCCUCAUUCUCCA